rnacentral:lncRNA from 1 species
UAAGUCAAAUUAAUAUAAUUGCAAAACUAUACAUUGGGACACUAGUUUUUGUACCUAGUCCUUUAACUAGGUUUAUCAUCAUUAAAUUAUGAAUGCAAUAAGAUGGGAUUUUGUGAUGAAAACAACAAUCUUAACCGUUAUCUUUCAUCAACAUACUAGAAGUUUCUCCUUUCACCAUGUUCCUCCUAACUCCAUUUCCAAUUCAUUUCAUACAAUGAUCUAUAUGUAUAUAAAGCAAAUGAAAGGAAAAAACUUGAAUUUUCUCAUUCGUCAAGGUUGGAAAUCCUACUGCUUCUCUACUUGUAAAACCCCAG